UAAAUACUCCCUCCGUCCAAAAAUUCUUGUCUUAAAUUUGUCUACAUAUGAAUGUGUCUAUUCAUAUUUUAGUGUUAGAUACAUCCAUAUCUAGAUAAAUCUAAGAUAAGAAUUUUGAGACGGAGGGAGUAUAAG
rfam:Triticum aestivum genome assembly, contig: Triticum_aestivum_CS42_TGACv1_scaffold_220646_3B